rnacentral:lncRNA from 10 species
CUGCAGCCAGCCGGCAUCUCCACGCAGGCCUUAGCGUGUGAAGGUGAGGGGACCUUCACCUCUACCAAGGCAUCCAACUCCUGGGCUUUUUAUGCAGCUCUGAAAGUUGGGACUGUUCCUUUUUUUUUUUAAGUUGCUUUAAAAUGUCACCACUACAGGGGAUUUUUAGAGUGACAAAACUAUUUGUAUGAUACUCUAGGGCUGGAUAUUUUUCUUUACAUUUUCUUUACAUUUGUCCAAACCCAUAGAAUAUUCAACACCAAGAGUCAACCCUGAUGCAGACUGUGGACUUUAGUUAAUAAUAAUGUAUCCAUUUUGGCUUAUGGGUUGUAACAAACAUAACACGCCAAUGCAAGACGAGAAUAAUAGGGGCAUGGGGAGGAUUAGAGGGGAACUCUAUUUCUGCUCAGUUUUUCUGUAAAUGUGAAACUACUCUAAAAAAUAAAGUCUAGUAAUUUAAAAAA